CGCCCAUUCCAUCACUAUUUUUUAUUAGAAUACAGAAAAUACUAUUAGAAUACAAAAUACUUUAGCCAUCACAAACAGGUGGACAACCAAAGUAAGAUGUGGAAUUAUAGCUUGAAUCACACGCUUUUCAAUGGUGUAUUCAUCGUGUGGGAAAGUAUGUUUUUGUUCGUUUGCUUUUUGCAAGCACUUUUUUUCAUUUGCAGCCCGUGCCACAGGUGAUGAUGUACUUAU
rnacentral:ribozyme from 1 species